rnacentral:rRNA from 1 species
CAGUCGCCGCGGUAAUACAGAGGGUGCAAGCGUUAAUCGGAAUUACUGGGCGUAAAGCGCGCGUAGGUGGUUUGUUAAGUUGGAUGUGAAAUCCCCGGGCUCAACCUGGGAACUGCAUCCAAAACUGGCAAGCUAGAGUAUGGUAGAGGGUGGUGGAAUUUCCUGUGUAGCGGUGAAAUGCGUAGAUAUAGGAAGGAACACCAGUGGCGAAGGCGGCUAACUGGUCCAUAACUGACGCUGAGGUGCGAAAGCGUGGGGAGCAAACAGGAUUAGAUACCCCCGUAGUCCCUGUCUCUUAUAC